CGAGGAGCAGCCGGGGAUGGUUCGUCCGCUUUCCGUGUUCUGGCAGCGCCGUCUCCUGGAUUUAUGAGUCCUUUGGGCUGAGGCUGUUUAUUUUUUGUGGUGUUCAGCAAUGUGAGCACCCUUAGCGCUGUGCAAAGCCCUCAUGUGCUGUUUAGUUGGGUUUCUCAGGCUGUCCUGGCAGUUACCUGUCAGAACAAAGUGCCCCUAAAAUCCUUUCCCAACCCACCCGGUCCUGUGCUUCUGCACGUGGAACAGACCCCGCUUAUUUUCAGAAGCGGUUUUGCUGAGGCUUUGCAGCCCCGUGUGCCCCUGUGCUGACGGCCAGGCCUGCUUUCUCCUGCAGCCUCAUUGAGUUUCGUAGGGCAGAUCCGAUCUAUCAGAACUGGGCCUUAAUCAGUCAGUGGUGCAGCUCCGUGAGCCGUCGCUGUGCCAGCUGUCCUGCAGAGUCUCCCUCAGUCGUUACCUGGGAAGGGGCAGAGACCCGUGCAGCCUCCUUGUCUCUCCUAUCUCACACAUUAAUUGUUGUCUCUCUGCUCCGUGCUGCCGUUUGUAAGAACGUGCCACUAAAGAAUCUGUUCUGCUUAUUCAGCAAGAGUUCUCAUCGGCAGCAAUUCAUGAGCUGCUUUAGAGCGGGUCAGUGCUGCUUUACCAGUGCCGGUGGUGCAGAACUUUGAGCCGAGGUCUGCUGGUGUCACUGCAGCUUUGUUUUGUGCUGCAAUGCCCGUCUCCAUUCCCUUCUGCAAUAGGAGAGCUUGAGUACCUGAGGGGACCGCUCUGCAGUGCCACGAGGUGCAGAGCUGCGGGUCAGACGUUGGGCCUCCUUGUCCCGCCCUGCCGGCGAUGUGUGCUCUGCAGUGUGAACUUUCACUCAGAAACCAGCACUAGGAGUAAGAAGUGGGCGUUUACAUCAUUGUUCUUAAGGCAUCUAUCAGUGUCUACAGCAAGAUCCCAUCUGAUAAAGGAGUUUAUUCCAUGAACAGAAAGGGAGACAAUAGCCUGAUCUUCCCCCUCUUCGUGUACCAGCAAGACUUCAGGAUGGCAGUCUUUGAUGAGAUUCUGAAACAUCAAAUCAGGAAAUGAUGGGAAUAAGCUGAUUUCUUCCUGAGCUAACACUGAGAGCAGCAUUGCAUGUCUGAUGGAGAACAGCAAACAAGUGAGAGAGCUUGUUUUCUGGAGAACGUUCACUUCACCGUCCUGAGCAUGAGUGGCUUCUACUGGCAGUGCUGCCAAAGAGCUGCGCAUCAGUAAUUCUUUGACAUGCAGAGUCUGGUAUCAUUGUCCCAACGUUAGCAUCUGGAUGUAACUUUGCCAGGCAGACGGGCUUCCUCUUGUGACUCCACGCCAGGGUGAGUGAACACAAAAUGAGUUGAAAACAAAGAAUAAAGACAUGAAGUAAUCGGCAGUUCCAUCUUCGCCCUUUCCCAGCUAAAUAUAUCUGUGUGCACGCAGGGGUAUUUAUAUAUACAGGCACACGUACAUACACAGGAAGGGGAUUGCUCUAAUUUUAGGUUGUGUGUCUCAGCAGAUGCACACACAGAAGAAAAAUGAGG
ensembl:lncRNA